rnacentral:rRNA from 1 species
CCUACGGGAGGCUGCAGUGAGGAAUAUUGGUCAAUGGACGAGAGUCUGAACCAGCCAAGUAGAGUGAAGGAUGACUGCCCUAUGGGUUGUAAACUUCUUUUAUAUGGGAAUAAAGUGUUCCACGUGUGGGCUUUUGUAUGUACCAUAUGAAUAAGGAUCGGCUAACUCCGUGCCAGCAGCCGCGGUAAUACGGAGGAUCCGAGCGUUAUCCGGAUUUAUUGGGGUUAAAGGGAGCGUAGGUGGAUUGUCAAGUCAGUUGUGAAAGUUUGCGGCUCAACCGUAAAAUUGCAGUUGAAACUGGCAGUCUUGAGUACAGUAGAGGUGGGCGGAAUGCGUGGUGUAGCGGUGAAAUGCUUAGAUAUCACGAAGAACUCCGAUUGCGAAGGCAGCUCACUGGACUGCAACUGACACUGAGGCUCGAAAGUGUGGGUAUCAAACAGGAUUAGAUACCCGGGUAGUC